rnacentral:rRNA from 1 species
UACAGAGGUCUCGAGCGUUAGGCGGAAUCACUGGGCUUAAAGCGUGUGUAGGUGGGUGCCUAAGUACCUUGUGAAAUCCCACAGCUUAACUGUGGAACUGCUUGGUAUACUGGGUGUCCUGAGUCACUCAGGGGCGAGCGGAACAAAUGGUGGAGCGGUGAAAUGCGUAGAUAUCAUUUGGAACGCCAAUGGUGAAAACAGCUCGCUGGGGGUGCACUGACACUGAGACACGAAAGCCAGGGGAGCGAACGGG